GUGUGUGCGUGCGUGUGUGUGUGAGUGAGGGUGGGGAGGGUGGUGUGGAGGGGUGCCUGGGGGGGGUGCAUGUGGGAAUGCGUGUGCUUGUUUAUCUAUGUAGAAGCACGGAAAGAGAGAAAGGGGGAGGGAGGGUGAGGGAGAGAAAGAGAAAGAGAGAGAUUUGUAAGGUACUUGUAUUUGCAAACUACUGGCUGGGUUCCCACUAGAGGCAGAGAGAUCAGACUGAAAGACUGUGUGUCAGGAGUGUGUAUCUGCAAGUAUGUGUGUGUAGGAGAGACGCAGAGCGAGGAACCCGUUCAAUCCAUUUCAGCAGCAACUUUUCAGCCUAUCUACACGAGAUUUCUCCCCGAAUAUGGAAGCUUUUCGCUCUCUUGUGUUUGAUUUGUUUCAACCAUCUUAAUCACCAUAGACUGACGGUGCCGAAGUUUUGGUCACACUGUGGGCUGAAGAUGAGAGAAGUGCAGGCACAGCGGAGACAGAUGAGAGUUUUGUUAGUAGUUCUGCAGAAGGUGAAGAUGAUGACAGCGAUCAUGGCGUUCACCACGUCUGCAGGGCUAUUUAAGGAAACCCACACCUUUGCAUCAGCGCCUCUCCUCACUCCUACUGGCUUCUCAUCAACGUCAUUUGAACCUCAAUGCCGACAUGGGUGGUAACACGUCUUGGCAUGGAGGUGCUCCACACAGGCCAAGAGAAACAAAAGCAGACUCUCACUCUCUCUCACACACACACACACAAACACACACACAUAGGCGUGUGAUACUCACAGCUUGCAGCUAUAUCUAGCUUGUCUUUCUUGGUGCCAUUAGCAUUGCAAAGUUAGUAUUUUGCACCCCACCACCACCACCCCCCCAAUCUGUUGACAGCUGAGGUGGACAUAUAAGACACUGACAGGUCUGGCAUCAUAGCAUGCUUAGAGAAAACCAAAAUAUAUAUUUAGAUUUGAAUUGCAGACAUUUUAAAUGUAUGUGGUUUGGAUAGGAGCCAGCACACGAGGGACAGGCAAGUGUUUCUGUGAUUUUCCAUGUGUCUGAGUCAAACUGCAGUGACAAAGAGAUGCCGAGGAAGAAUGACAAUAAACUAGGAGGUUUGAGUUUUGUUUCUUAUACGUCACGUGUUGAUUUUCUCUAGCUGCCAUCAAUCAAACAAAUCAGUUGCGAGACACACAGCUCUCCCUGGUGCUCACAGUGAACAUUCAACGCUGUCGGUGAGUUUGAGCUCUAACCGAAACCAUCGACCGUUGACUGUACCCUGAGGGACACCACGGCACACAUUAUUGUCUGGAAACCACACAUCAUGGAACAUUUCAAUUCUGCUCAUAUUCAGGGCAAAAUGCAAAACCAGAGUCUAUGCAUGGACUCUGGAUCAAACCUGUGCACCUUCAGUUAGACAGACUCUGGGACACCUGAUCAGCUGUGACACAGGAGGAAUUCAGUCUUAAGGCUGCAAUAAACAUUCAUUGCUGUCGGUGGGUUUACAUGAGAAUAACUCACUGAUCAAUGAAUGCAGACUGCGGUUCAAACACCUCAAUUACCAGCCAAGGCACCAACAAGACCAACGGAUGUGUACCAAAAGACUUGAUGCAACAUGCUAAUGAAAUUUGCAUGUUGCAUCAAGAAAUUAAGAUUUGCAUGGACACAGCUCUAUUACCACUAGCUGUCCUUCCAACAUUUAAAGGCUAAUUUCACCCAAAAUAUAAAAUAAAAUAAAACAUAUUUUCUCACUCAGCUCCAGUGGUACCUGGACACACAGACGGUUUGGGGUUUUUUUGUCCAGAUUUUGAGAUAUUUGCCUGCCAAUCUAAUGAAGAUGAGCACUCAAAGGAAACUCCAACAACAGUUUUUAUGAGCAUUAUAUCUUCAGCAGAAGGAUAUCCAGAAUAAUAAGAACAUUUGUUACUGGAGAGAGGUGUUUUUUUCAUUUCAUACUGCUGUGAGUGUCAAUCAAAAUUCAGUUAAAUUGCAUUGCAUUAGAAUGGAGGCAGUAAUCUCAGAGACUGAUAAAUGCCUUAAUCAAUUUAUUUACAACACACCUUAUAUAGCUCUUAUAUGACUUCUGACCAUUCCUCAAAGCAUGCCAUAGCGUUUUACGUGUCUUAAUAGGUUUUUUUUUCUUCCAGACAAUGAGCAGUUUCAUCUUAUUACAGUGUGUGAGUCAGGUCAUCAACCAAAGUGUAAACUGGUGGUCCAGCACAGAUUGACUUGAAAUGUCUGCAUUAUAUUGCCACACAGCAAUAACAUAUCUCUGACUGACCCUGAAGACAUGAUGUUCUCUAUGAUGAGUAACAUCAUCAGCCUUGUUUCAAGCCUCCGCAUGUAGAUUUUCAAACUAUGUGAAUUUGAAUGGAAACCAACAGCAGCCUGACAUGUGGGUAAAGGCAGAUUUUAAAAUCACAGCAGUAUGCUUUAAAGAAGUGUCAGCAGUAAUGUAAGAAGCUGAAUGUUGUUGGAAAUGUUCUACUAGUGCUGAUAUAAUACCUUUGUUUUGUUACUUAUGUCAGAAAAAAGAUACAGAAAUAUGUUUUUCAUUCAAUGAAAUCUGUUUCUGUAAAACAGUUUGAAAUACUCAUUAUACACCAGUUUUUGAUACUUGGUGCUACAGGAAAAUUCCACAACAUACAAAAAACAAUGCAAUACUAUUUUCUCACAGUACAAAUAUUGAUAAGAUAUUGGCACAAAAUAAAUAAGGAUCUAAACGUAUUUAUAUCAAUUCAAUAAAGUUAUUGAAAACUUUUAUUAGCAUUUGUUAAACAUUUUGUUUACUAAGGCUUAACUGGUUGACAAUGGAAAAAAGAGCUAUGUAUAUCAAGAUGAUACUCAUAACAUAAAAACAUGAAAAACAUGGUUCCAAAAUAUCUGAUUAACUAUUUUUCAUUGGUAAAAGACAAUCAUAGCUAGGUAUCUCGACGAAUUUCAAACCUUUUCAUUUUCAAUAACUUAAUAGGUAAAAAUACAUUUUUAUACAGAGCAGAAGUACAGUGGGAUAAUCUGCCCACUAAUUUGAAAGUAGAGUGUUUCACAGAACACGUUUAAAGCAGCCUUAAAGAAAUGGUUACAGAGCACCAUGUAGUAUAUUUUUAAUUUAUCAUUUUAAAGGUUUGUAACCAAGAAAAUUGAGUGGUGAAAUAGCUACUCACCAUCUGCUAUUUAUUUAUUUGUCAUUUUAAUUGUAUUUUCUACGAUGUUUUGUUGUUGACCACAGUGGAAAUAAACCCUCAGGCUUUACUAUGUUUUUAUUCCUCAGUGAUUUGAUGUGUGUAAUGAUUGCAGUCCAGUGUUUUAUGUAUUUUUCGAUCAUUAAAUAAAUUCAAUCAAUCAA